rnacentral:rRNA from 1 species
GACGAACGCUGGCGGCGUGCUUAACACAUGCAAGUCGAGCGGUAAGGCCCUUUCGGGGGUACACGAGCGGCGAACGGGUGAGUAACACGUGGGUGACCUGCCUUUAGCUCUGGGAUAAGCCUGGGAAACUGGGUCUAAUACCGGAUAUGACUCCGCGGUGCAUGCUGUGGGGUGGAAAGCCUUGUGCGGCUGGAGAUGGGCCCGCGGCCUAUCAGCUUGUUGGUGGGGUGANGGCCUACCAAGGCGACGACGGGUAGCCGGCCUGAGAGGGCGACCGGCCACACUGGGACUGAGACACGGCCCAGACUCCUACGGGAGGCAGCAGUGGGGAAUCUUGCGCAAUGGGCGAAAGCCUGACGCAGCGACGCCGCGUGAGGGAUGACGG